GGUUAAGCGACUAAGCGUACACGGUGGAUGCCCUGGCAGUCAGAGGCGAUGAAGGGCGUGCUAAUCUGCGAUAAGCGCCGGUAAGGUGAUAUGAACCGUUAUAACCGGCGAUACCCGAAUGGGGAAACCCAGUGUGAUUCGUCACACUAUCAUUAACUGAAUCCAUAGGUUAAUGAGGCGAACCGGGGGAACUGAAACAUCUAAGUACCCCGAGGAAAAGAAAUCAACCGAGAUUCCCCCAGUAGCGGCGAGCGAACGGGGAGGAGCCCAGAGCCUGAAUCAGCAUGUGUGUUAGUGGAAGCGUCUGGAAAGGUGCGCGAUACAGGGUGACAGCCCCGUACACAAAAGCGCAUGUGCUGUGAGCUCGAUGAGUAGGGCGGGACACGUGGUAUCCUGUCUGAAUAUGGGGGGACCAUCCUCCAAGGCUAAAUACUCCUGACUGACCGAUAGUGAACCAGUACCGUGAGGGAAAGGCGAAAAGAACCCCGGCGAGGGGAGUGAAAAAGAACCUGAAACCGUGUACGUACAAGCAGUGGGAGCACAGGUUUACCUGUGUGACUGCGUACCUUUUGUAUAAUGGGUCAGCGACUUAUAUUCUGUAGCAAGGUUAACCGAAUAGGGGAGCCGGAGGGAAACCGAGUCUUAAUUGGGCGUUAAGUUGCAGGGUAUAGACCCGAAACCCGGUGAUCUAGCCAUGGGCAGGUUGAAGGUUGGGUAACACUAACUGGAGGACCGAACCGACUAAUGUUGAAAAAUUAGCGGAUGACCUGUGGCUGGGGGUGAAAGGCCAAUCAAACCGGGAGAUAGCUGGUUCUCCCCGAAAGCUAUUUAGGUAGCGCCUCGUGAAUUCAUCUCCGGGGGUAGAGCACUGUUUCGGCUAGGGGGCCAUCCCGGCUUACCAACCCGAUGCAAACUGCGAAUACCGGAGAAUGUUAUCACGGGAGACACACGGCGGGUGCUAACGUCCGUCGUGAAGAGGGAAACAACCCAGACCGCCAGCUAAGGUCCCAAAGUCAUGGUUAAGUGGGAAACGAUGUGGGAAGGCCCAGACAGCCAGGAUGUUGGCUUAGAAGCAGCCAUCAUUUAAAGAAAGCGUAAUAGCUCACUGGUCGAGUCGGCCUGCGCGGAAGAUGUAACGGGGCUAAACCAUGCACCGAAGCUGCGGCAGCGACGCUGAUGCGUUGUUGGGUAGGGGAGCGUUCUGUAAGCCUGCGAAGGUGACCUGUGAGGGUUGCUGGAGGUAUCAGAAGUGCGAAUGCUGACAUAAGUAACGAUAAAGCGGGUGAAAAGCCCGCUCGCCGGAAGACCAAGGGUUCCUGUCCAACGUUAAUCGGGGCAGGGUGAGUCGACCCCUAAGGCGAGGCCGAAAGGCGUAGUCGAUGGGAAACGGGUUAAUAUUCCCGUACUUGGUGUUACUGCGAAGGGGGGACGGAGAAGGCUAUGUUGGCCGGGCGACGGUUGUCCCGGUUUAAGCGUGUAGGUGUGUGUUCCAGGUAAAUCCGGUUCACUUUAACACUGAGGCGUGACGACGAGGCACUACGGUGCUGAAGCAACAAAUGCCCUGCUUCCAGGAAAAGCCUCUAAGCAUCAGGUAACACGAAAUCGUACCCCAAACCGACACAGGUGGUCAGGUAGAGAAUACCAAGGCGCUUGAGAGAACUCGGGUGAAGGAACUAGGCAAAAUGGUGCCGUAACUUCGGGAGAAGGCACGCUGACACGUAGGUGAAGUGAUUUACUCAUGGAGCUGAAGUCAGUCGAAGAUACCAGCUGGCUGCAACUGUUUAUUAAAAACACAGCACUGUGCAAACACGAAAGUGGACGUAUACGGUGUGACGCCUGCCCGGUGCCGGAAGGUUAAUUGAUGGGGUCAGCGCAAGCGAAGCUCCUGAUCGAAGCCCCGGUAAACGGCGGCCGUAACUAUAACGGUCCUAAGGUAGCGAAAUUCCUUGUCGGGUAAGUUCCGACCUGCACGAAUGGCGUAAUGAUGGCCAGGCUGUCUCCACCCGAGACUCAGUGAAAUUGAACUCGCUGUGAAGAUGCAGUGUACCCGCGGCAAGACGGAAAGACCCCGUGAACCUUUACUAUAGCUUGACACUGAACAUUGAGCCUUGAUGUGUAGGAUAGGUGGGAGGCUUUGAAGUGUGGACGCCAGUCUGCAUGGAGCCGACCUUGAAAUACCACCCUUUAAUGUUUGAUGUUCUAACGUGGACCCGUAAUCCGGGUUGCGGACAGUGUCUGGUGGGUAGUUUGACUGGGGCGGUCUCCUCCUAAAGAGUAACGGAGGAGCACGAAGGUUGGCUAAUCCUGGUCGGACAUCAGGAGGUUAGUGCAAUGGCAUAAGCCAGCUUGACUGCGAGCGUGACGGCGCGAGCAGGUGCGAAAGCAGGUCAUAGUGAUCCGGUGGUUCUGAAUGGAAGGGCCAUCGCUCAACGGAUAAAAGGUACUCCGGGGAUAACAGGCUGAUACCGCCCAAGAGUUCAUAUCGACGGCGGUGUUUGGCACCUCGAUGUCGGCUCAUCACAUCCUGGGGCUGAAGUAGGUCCCAAGGGUAUGGCUGUUCGCCAUUUAAAGUGGUACGCGAGCUGGGUUUAGAACGUCGUGAGACAGUUCGGUCCCUAUCUGCCGUGGGCGCUGGAGAACUGAGGGGGGCUGCUCCUAGUACGAGAGGACCGGAGUGGACGCAUCACUGGUGUUCGGGUUGUCAUGCCAAUGGCACUGCCCGGUAGCUAAAUGCGGAAGAGAUAAGUGCUGAAAGCAUCUAAGCACGAAACUUGCCCCGAGAUGAGUUCUCCCUGAGACUUAGAGUCUCCUGAAGGAACGUUGAAGACGACGACGUUGAUAGGCCGGGUGUGUAAGCGCAGCGAUGCGUUGAGCUAACCGGUACUAAUGAACCGUGAGGCUUAACCUU
rnacentral:rRNA from 1 species